rnacentral:misc_RNA from 1 species
GUGAAUCAUCGAAUCUUUGAACGCAUAUUGCGCUCUUUGGUUCUCCAGAGAGCAUGCCUGUUUGAGUAUCAGUAAAACACCCUCGCACGCGGAUGCUUGUUCAUUUGCGGGCGGUAUUGAAUGCUUCGAUGUACGACUGGUCGACAGACAGCUGUCUGGCUGCCCAACUCACAUCGGUCAUUUGAAAUAUAGUGAAAGUCGUGCGUAAUCGCUUCUGACUUGGCGUAUUUGGUUCUCUACGGAGAUUUUUUGCGCUGUUCAGUCAGUUUAAUGGUUUGCGACGUUCAGGUACUCUUACAC